AUUAGAGUUUGAUCCUGGCUCAGGAUGAACACUAGCGGCAGGCCUAAUACAUGCAAGUCGAGGGGGCAGCAAUGUCACCGGCGCACGGGUGCGUAACACGUUUGGAAUCUGCCUUCAACAGGGGGAUAGCCCGCCGAAAGGCGGAUUAAUACCGCAUAUGCCAGUGGCCCGGCAUCGGGCAGUUGGGAAAGGCGCGAGCCGGUUGAAGAUGACCAUGCGUCUGAUUAGCUAGUUGGCGGGGUAGUGGCCCACCAAGGCGACGAUCAGUCGGGGACCUGAGAGGGCGAUCCCCCACACGGACACUGAGAGACGGGUCCGACUCCUACGGGAGGCAGCAGUAGGGAAUAUUGGGCAAUGGGCGCGAGCCUGACCCAGCCAUGCCGCGUGCCGGAAGAAGGCCCUCUGGGUUGUAAACGGCUUUUGACGGGGAAGAAACGACCUUUGCGAAGGGCAUUGACGGUACCCGCAGAAUAAGCACCGGCUAACUCCGUGCCAGCAGCCGCGGUAAUACGGAGGGUGCGAGCGUUGUCCGGAUUUAUUGGGUUUAAAGGGUGCGUAGGCGGUUUGGUAAGUCGGCGAUGAAAGCCCGGGGCUCAACCCCGGAACUGUCGUCGAUACUGUCGAACUUGAAUAGCGUGGAGGCUGGCGGAAUGGGCGGUGUAGCGGUGAAAUGCAUAGAUACCGUCCAGAACCCCGAUUGCGAAGGCAGCUGGCUGUACGCUGAUUGACGCUGAGGCACGAAAGCGUGGGGAGCGAACAGGAUUAGAUACCCUGGUAGUCCACGCCGUAAACGAUGGAUACUCGUCGUGGGCGAUAGAUAGUCUGCGACUCAGCGAAAGCGGUAAGUAUCCCACCUGGGGAGUACGCCGGCAACGGUGAAACUCAAAGGAAUUGACGGGGGCCCGCACAAGUGGUGGAGCAUGUGGUUUAAUUCGAUGAUACGCGAGGAACCUUACCUGGGCUAGAAUGUGCGUGAAGAACUCAGAAAUGGGUUUGUCCUUCGGGACACAAAACAAGGUGCUGCAUGGCCGUCGUCAGCUCGUGCCGUGAGGUGUUGGGUUAAGUCCCGCAACGAGCGCAACCCCUAUGGUUAGUUGCCAGCACGUAAUGGUGGGGACUCUAGCCAGACUGCCUCCGCAAGGAGUGAGGAAGGCGGGGACGACGUCAGGUCAUCAUGGCCCUUACGCCCAGGGCUACACACGUGCUACAAUGGCCGGUACAGCGGGUUGCGACUGCGCGAGCAGAAGCCAAUCUCUCUAAAGCCGGUCUCAGUUCGGAUCGGAGUCUGCAACUCGACUCCGUGAAGCUGGAAUCACUAGUAAUCGCGUAUCAGCAAUGACGCGGUGAAUACGUUCCCGGGCCUUGUACACACCGCCCGUCAAGCCAUGGAAGCUGGGUGGACCUGAAGACGGUGCGCGUCACAGCAGCCGUUUAGGGUAAAACCGGUAACUGGGGCUAAGUCGUAACAAGGUAACCAAU
rnacentral:rRNA from 1 species